rnacentral:lncRNA from 1 species
CAUUCACACGUAUCCAAAAUUACUUUUUACUUCCAACUCUAUAUAAUUUUUACUUCCGACUAUAUCUGUAUCGAAAAUUGAUUUGUUAGUAUACCUCAGUUUCACUAUAUCAGUGAUGUAAACUUCAGCAAUGGACUGAACUAUAGAUUACACCAGUUUCACUAUAUCAGUGAUGUAAACUUCAGCAAUGGACUGAACUAUAGACUACUCCAGUUUCCUUAUAUCAGUAAUGUACAGAAAUGGAAUGAACUAUAGAUUACACCAGUUUCACUAUAUCAAUAAUGUACAUAACUUC